GCCGCCUCGGGCCGGGGGACGGCUCCGCGCUGCCUCCGCGGCGGGGAGCGGGUCACUAACGCGGGUGCUUGAGCAACGCGACAAGCCGCCCGCAACCGAUCACUAAGAAAUCACUCGGGACCGGCAGAAGCGACUGCCGGAGCUAUCGCAGGGGAGCUGCUCCGAGUUUAAAAAAUUACAUGUCCCUGCCGGUGUCGCGAUCGCGAGGAGAUGCGGCCGGCAGCACUCGCCCUAGAGCCCGAUGCCCGUGCGAGGCGAGACCGGCGGCGGCGGCGGCGGCCGGCCCGUCGGGGCUCGCAAGGUGGCAGCCGGGUAGGGGUCCGGCUGCCGGAACGCGCUGCUCCCCGGCCCCCGGCACUGAGAGAGCCGCUCCUCGUCCGGGACCCUCGCAAAGCCCUGCUGUGCCGUGCCGCCUUCCGCGGCCCGGCCCGGGACGGCGCCGGCCAGCCCCGUGCCGUGAGUGACCACGAAUCCCCGGUGUAACGGGGCGCAUCCCGGGACGCUGCGCUGCUGUCGCUUUGCUCCCACUGUCCAAGCGCUGGGCGGCCCCGCAUCGGUGCCCGGUGCCCGUGGCGCCCUCCAGGCCCGCGAAAGCGGCGGGACGACUUUGCCGAGAAUUAGUUUAACGUGACACCUUUCGAAACAGGGGCACCGGGCCCUUCGCCGCCGGGUAGCGGCGGGGCUGGGGCGGCCCGACGGGGAGCGGCCGGGGCUGCGCUGCGCUCUGCGGGCGCGGAGAGGUGGCACGGCCGGCCCGGGACAGGAAAGAGCCCCUGCUCUUUCGGGGCUCGGCUGGCCGGGGGGACACGCUCAGCCUCACGGUGUAGCUGUAAGUGCUGCAGGGGCUGCGAGACAAGGGUGCAGAAGUGUGUCUGGACGCAGGGGGAGAUAGGCUAAAUUUGGCGGGGGAAUGUCUCUCUUGAACGCUUUCCUUUUUUUUUUCUUCUUCCCCCUUUUUCUUUUGUUUGUUUGUUUUUUGUUAUAAAGGACACCGAGAUACUCGUAAAGAAGAAGCCGAACCGUACAAAUGCAAAUAAAUAAGUAAAUAGCUGCCUCUGACACGGUGCUUCUCACCGCCGGGGCUCACCUUAACUUCAACCACUGUUAAUUUACCCAGAAGAGAAACUGAGGCUCUGGGAGUGAAGCGAUGUCCCCAGGGUCACAUGGCAGAGCAGUGGCAGCCAGUGGCAGCCAGUCCGGCCCCAGGCUUGUGUGCAGGCUUCCACCUAUCCUCCAGCCCUGCUGCCUGCUUUCCGUAGCUGCUUGCAGGUUACCUUCCUGCAGCCCUGUGUCUUGCAGCGUUUCCAAGUCUAAACGCACGGGCCCUGCGAUCUGCCACGCCAGGGAACAAAAAGCAACAACCAAAUGCAAAAAACUUGGGAAAACUUUUGCAGUGUGUCCAUGACCAUGGGUGAUUCCUCUGUCCCUUCGGAGUCUGACAACAAAAUUGGAAGUGACAGGGGGGUGGGAAAUGUACAAGUACUCUUGGACAUAAAAAGAACACCCCACAACCACAAAGGCCUGAUUCUGCUCUUCUGCUGAUGUGAAUUAAAAAUAACUAUACUGAUAUCAACAAAGCAUCAUCAGUCUGUGUGAGAAAGAGAGCCAUGUGCCUGAUGUGUGUAAUUGCUGAAUUGAGAGCCUUUCCUUGCUUUCCUUUGCCUGGCUCCUCAUUUCAGAAGGGAAACCUUUGGAAGAAAAUGUCUUUAACCUGAAGAAUUAAUACAGCCUAGGUGAUUCAGCAGAGUGAAAUUCAAUUCAAGAACCCGGUAUUGAAGGAAAUAGAAUUGUUCAAAAAUAAAAUAAUUUUAAAAAAAGAAAAAAAAAGUCACAACCUCCUGAGAGGAGAAAGUGAACUAAACUAAUCCUAUUAAACAUGGUAGCAUGUUUCUGUGCAGCUCGCUGAGAGAUUAAGCACAGGAAAAGGGAUAAGUGCUGCUUCAGUUUCACUAAACUAAUGUGACAACUUGUCAUUGGAAAUCUUUACAGCUUGUUAGCAGAUGACUAGCUGAUUCAGAUAUGUUUUCUACCAUUUCCUUUGUGUCUGGGGGUGAUGUUUUUUUCUUUCCUGUUCCUUUCUUAUCCAUACUGCUUUAUUUUGCUUUUUAAUCCUUCAUGUCUCCUUCAAGUCAAAACAUUUAACUUGCUUUAAUCAAUAUUUUGUUUUGAAGAUGUCCCUUGACCUUUUGUUUGUGCAAAUUAACCUUCAAGGGCAACUCAUUCAUUCAUUAACCUCAGUGGGAUGCCAUAUCCCUUGUACAUGGCAUUUUAGGAUGCAUAAAACAUUUAUGAAUGUUUAGACAUAUUGCAGUGAAUGACUGUGAUACUGCUAUGGUUACUACUACUGCUUCUGUAAUAUAUUAAAUUUCCUUCCAUCUCCCUCCUUCUUUCACUCUUACAUUCUUUUGUAUUUUUUAUCUUUUUUUUU